UGGUCAAGUUAUUAAGGGUGCAGGGGGAUGCCUUGGCACUAGGAGCCGAUGAAGGACGUGAUAAGCUGCGAUAAGCUUCGGGGAGUUGCACGUAAACUUUGAUCCGAAGAUUUCCGAAUGAGGAAACUCACUUAGAGUAAUGUCUAAGUAUCAUUAAGUGAAUACAUAGCUUAAUGAGGGGAACUCAGGGAACUGAAACAUCUAAGUACCUGAAGGAAGAGAAAGAAAUUCGAUUCCGUAAGUAGCGGCGAGCGAACGCGGAUUAGCCCAAACCAAUAAAGUUUUCUUUAUUGGGGUUGCGGACAUAUCAUAACGAAGAGGUAUCGUAAUUGAAGAGGUUUGGAAAGACCCACCACAGAAGGUAAUAGUCCUGUAUGUUAAACGAGAAGACUUCAGAUAUGAUCCAGAGUACCACGGGACACGUGAAACCCUGUGGGAAGCAGGAGGGACCACCCUCCAAGGCUAAAUACUACCUAGUGACCGAUAGCGUAUAGUACCGUGAGGGAAAGGUGAAAAGAACCCCGGGAGGGGAGUGAAAUAGAACCUGAAACCCUGCACUUACAAGCUGUGGAAGCACAUUUCUUGUGUGACCGCGUACUUUUUGUAGAACGGGCCAACGAGUUACGUUAAGUAGCAAGGUUAAGCACUUAAGGUGCGGAGCCGUAGCGAAAGCGAGUUUUAACUGAGCGUUCAGUUACUUGACGUAGACCCGAAACCGGGCGACCUACCCAUGAGCAGGAUGAAGCGAAAGUAAAAUUUCGUGGAGGUCCGAACCCACGAGCGUUGAAAAGCUCGGGGAUGACUUGUGGGUAGCGGUGAAAUUCCAAUCGAGCCCGGAGAUAGCUGGUUCUCCCCGAAAUAGCUUUAGGGCUAGCCUCAAGGUGAGAGAUACGGAGGUAGAGCACUGAAUGUCCUAGGGGGUAUUGCACCUACCGAAGACUAUCAAACUCCGAAUGCCGUCAUCUUAUACUUGGGAGUCAGACUGUGGGUGAUAAGAUUCAUAGUCGAAAGGGCAACAGCCCAGAUCGUCAGCUAAGGUCCCUAAAUGUAAGUUAAGUGGUAAAGGAUGUGGGAUUGCACAGACAACCAGGAUGUUGGCUUAGAAGCAGCCACUCAUUCAAAGAGUGCGUAAUAGCUCACUGGUCGAGUGAUCCUGCGCCGAAGAUUUCCGGGGCUAAAACUUACUACCGAAGCUACGGCAUCAGUAAUGAUGGGUAGGGGAGCUUCCCAUACGGGUUGAAGCAUGACCGUAAGGACAUGUGGACAGUAUGGGAGUGAGAAUGUUGGCAUGAGUAGCGAGAUGUGGGUGAGAAUCCCACAGGCCGUAAACCCAAGGUUUCCAGGGGAAGGUUCGUCCGCCCUGGGUUAGUCGGGACCUAAGCUGAGGCCGAAAGGCGUAGGUGAUGGACAACAGGUUGAUAUUCCUGUACUACCGAUAACCGUUUGAGAGAAGGGAUGACACAGUAGGAUAAGCUAAGCACACUGUUGGUUAUGUGUGCCCAAGCAUUGAGGCAGUCAAAGUAGGCAAAUCCGCUUUGAUAAUGCUGGGAUGUGAUGGGGAGCGAAAUUUAGUAGCGAAGUAGCUGAUUUCACACUGUCAAGAAAAGUCUCUAUCGAGGUUAAAGGUACCCGUACCGCAAACCGACACAGGUGGGUGAGGAGAGUAUCCUAAGGCCAGCGAGAGAACUGUUGUUAAGGAACUCGGCAAAAUGACCCCGUAACUUAGGGAUAAGGGGUGCCACCAUCAGGUGGCCGCAGAGAAUAGGCCCAAGCGACUGUUUACCAAAAACAUAGGUUUCUGCUAAGUCGCAAGACGAUGUAUAGGAGCUGACGCCUGCCCGGUGCUGGAAGGUUAAGGGGAUCUGUUAGAGCAAUCGAAGCAGUGAACUUAAGCCCCAGUAAACGGCGGCCGUAACUAUAACGGUCCUAAGGUAGCGAAAUUCCUUGUCGGGUAAGUUCCGACCCGCACGAAAGGCGUAACGAUUUGGGCACUGUCUCAACAACAGACUCGGUGAAAUUGUAAUUCCGGUGAAGAUGCCGGAUACCUGCGACAGGACGGAAAGACCCCAUGGAGCUUUACUGUAGCUUGACAUUGGGUUUUGGUACUACAUGUACAGGAUAGGUGGGAGGCUUUGAAACCAGGACGCCAGUUUUGGCGGAGCCAUCCUUGGGAUACCACCCUUGUAGUACUGGGACUCUAACCAUAGGCCAUGAAUCUGGUCUUGGGACACUGUCAGGCGGGCAGUUUGACUGGGGCGGUCGCCUCCCAAAAGGUAACGGAGGCGCUCAAAGGUUCUCUCAGUACGGUCGGAAAUCGUACGUAGAGUGUAAAGGCAAAAGAGAGCUUGAUUGCAAGACAUACAGGUCGAGCAAGGAUGAAAAUCGGACUUAGUGAUCCGGUGGUUCUGCGUGGAAGGGCCAUCGCUCAACGGAUAAAAGCUACCCUGGGGAUAACAGGCUUAUCUCCCCCAAGAGUCCACAUCGACGGGGAGGUUUGGCACCUCGAUGUCGGCUCAUCACAUCCUGGGGCUGUAGUAGGUCCCAAGGGUUGGGCUGUUCGCCCAUUAAAGUGGUACGCGAGCUGGGUUCAGAACGUCGUGAGACAGUUCGGUCCCUAUCCGUCGCAGGCGUAGGAAAUUUGAGAAGACCUGUCCUUAGUACGAGAGGACCGGGAUGGACGUACCUCUGGUGUACCAGUUGUUCUGCCAAGGGCAUGGCUGGGUAGCUAUGUACGGAAUGGAUAAGCGCUGAAAGCAUCUAAGCGCGAAGCCAACUUCAAGAUAAGAUUUCCCACCGCAAGGGUAAGACCCCAGAAAGACUAUCUGGUUGAUAGGUCGAAGGUGUAAGUGCAGCAAUGUAUUUAGCUUAUCGAUACUAAUAGGUCGAGGACUUGACCAAAUU
rnacentral:rRNA from 1 species